rnacentral:rRNA from 1 species
GACAGAGGGUGCGAACGUUGUUCGGAAUUACUGGGCGUAAAGGGCGCGUAGGCGGCUUAUCAAGUCAGGCGUGAAAUUCCCGGGCUCAACCUGGGGGCUGCGCUUGAUACUGAUUGGCUUGAAUGCGGGAGAGGAUAGUGGAAUUCCCAGUGUAGAGGUGAAAUUCGUAGAUAUUGGGAAGAACACCGGUGGCGAAGGCGGCUAUCUGGCCCGUAAUUGACGCUGAGGCGCGAAAGCGUGGGGAGCAAACAGG